GCCUUCUUGGUGUAGUGGUCAGCACGCUCGACGCGUAACCGAGAGAUCCGUGGUUCGAUUCCUGGCGAAGGCG
rnacentral:tRNA from 1 species